rnacentral:lncRNA from 1 species
GGUGGCGGUGGGAGCGGCUGUGGGGGUGCUGGGAGCCGCGGGGCGAGGGGAGCCUGCCCCGGGAGCGGCGGGACUGCGGGGCUCUGCCUGCGCCCUCAGACAGAGCACCUCCUCCGUUGGGUCUCGCUACGCGGCCAUCCGAGCUGCGAGCUUGCCUUCUUAACCUGCCCGCGGAGUUUUCAUCUUCUUGGUUUCUCUUGCGAUCAUCUUAGAGCUGUUACUAAAAAAAAUGUAACUGUGAUCCAAGCACCCUCUGUGUUUUAUGCCUUAAAAGGUUAGCUCAUGGCUGGUGUGGUACGUGGUUUAACGAGGCAUCCAGUGCUUAAUUUGCAGCGCUUUGGGAAUCAGCUUUCUCGAGUGGUACAUUCAAUUGCUAUUGCUGUUAAUACAGCAGCACAGAGCUCAGUGGUAAUACGCGGUCACGUACCUCCUCUCAAAGUAAUGCUGGCAGACCUUACAUCCUCCCAGUGCUCAAGGUUGAAGUGGCAGUCUUCUAAACAUCCUACGGCAUCCUUAGAUGUAAAUUCUGUUGGGAUGUUUUGUCAAAGACCGAGUCUUAUCAUCAAAUACUGAUAGUUGUAACUACCAGUUUCAGGUACUCACUUUUUUUUUCUAGUUUUCCCACUUGAUUAUCUGCAUUCUUUUACAAUAUUAGGCUGUAGAAAUUCUGAAGGCUAAGCUCAGUCUGUUACUUCGUAAAUAACAGGAUCCGUGUUCAUGUGUGUCAAGUUCUUAAAUGGUCUGGCAACUGGCUUAUAUUCUAUUCUUUUUAAGUACUCGAUGCUAUGGGUAGUGUUGCAGGAAGGCCUGAUGUUACGGUAUUUGGAACAGUAAUUACUGCUUUGGUCAUUCAUCAGAAAGCCUCAAGACUUCUUGUAAAUAUUAAUUAAAUACUGUUCUAUUGUUUUCCUUUCAUUAUGGUUAGAGAGGCAUUUAUACAUUUGAAAAGGCUUGCUAGUACAUUUGUGAUAGUGUAAACUGUUUCCUAGUGAGUUUUCUGGUAUAAAAUUGGAUACGCUGGCAAAAUGUUUCUUCUAAUGUAAUUACCUGGUUCAGAGCUUGCUUUUCUUCAGUGUUUAUGACAGAAGAAGUAUUUUAUGUAUGCAUCCUCCUUCCUGCACUCCCAACUUAGCUAUAUGAUAAAACGUUUUAAGUGUAGCUCACUGUAAAAUGUGAAGGAAAGCUCCAAGCAAAAAGAGGAAAAUUAACUAGAUAAGUAGUUUAUACAUCAGGAUAUUUGAAAAUUAGUUUUGAUUUUCCUUAAACAGAAGUGAUAAACUGUGUGUAUCUAUUGGUAAAGAGUUGUUUCAAGCUGCAGGGGUGUCUAAUUGCCCGCUAAUGCAUAGCUGUGUGGGAAGUAAAAAAUGCUGUGACUCUAAAAGUUUGCAUCAGUUUAAUUAGAAAGCAAAAAGAUACUAUUAGUAAUGCAGAACUGUACAAGGAAUGCCUCUAUGCUUUGAAGCAGGAAAUGCAAAAAGACAGGCCUGAUCUUGCAUGCUUUUUUUUUCCCAGAAAAAGGCUGUGAUAUCGCCUUUUGUAACAGAUGGGUGAUAGGUUUUAGUGCAUUGUGAGUAUGUUGAGAUUUGUGUUCAAAUACCUGUGCUAUACGAGGGAUCUUAAAACCCACAUCUGUUAGUUCCCAAGGGAAUGCCCUGACUGCCAGGCUGCUGGGCGCUUUGCUGCGAGGUGCUGCCAGAUGCCAGCCGGUUUCAAUCCCAGGCAGUGAUACUUAGCAAGGGAGCGAGCCCAGGGAGGGGCUGGCAGGAAGCAUGAUUGGGUACAGACUGAUGUCUUGAACCCAAGUCUUCUGCUUUGCAGACCUGGUGAUGAACAAUGAAGAGGUGUAUUUCCUAGCAUGACAUUAAAUUCUGGGGAAUGGUUUCUAAGCUUUCUCUUUAGGAGUAUUCCUGGCUGACUUUGGCAGUUCGUCCCAAUGUUGAGUCUGAUAUUCAAACAGCAUCUCCAGUGUGCCUUUUCUGUUGCAGAGGGGAGCUGGGUGGCUUAUUUGUGGGCUAAGUGUUGUAGGAGGUGUGGCAUUUAGAUUCUCGUAGAUCAGUUUCUGUGUUCUUAUAAAAUGCUAAAUAAAUAGAUACAAAAAUGUAAUUAUUUCA